rnacentral:rRNA from 1 species
UUAAGCGACUAAGCGUACACGGUGGAUGCCCGCAGUCAGAGGCGAUGAAGGACGUGCUAAUCUGCGAUAAGCGUCGGUGAGGUGAUAUGAACCGUUAUAACCGGCGAUUUCCGAAUGGGGAAACCCAGUGUGUUUCGACACACUAUCAUUAACUGAAUCCAUAGGUUAAUGAGGCGAACCGGGGGAACUGAAACAUCUAAGUACCCCGAGGAAAAGAAAUCAACCGAGAUUCCCCCAGUAGCGGCGAGCGAACGGGGAGGAGCCCAGAGCCUGAAUCAGUGUGUGUGUUAGUGGAAGCGUCUGGAAAGGCGCGCGAUACAGGGUGACAGCCCCGUACACAAAAAUGCACAUAUUGUGAGCUCGAUGAGUAGGGCGGGACACGUGGUAUCCUGUCUGAAUAUGGGGGGACCAUCCUCCAAGGCUAAAUACUCCUGACUGACCGAUAGUGAACCAGUACCGUGAGGGAAAGGCGAAAAGAACCCCGGCGAGGGGAGUGAAAAAGAACCUGAAACCGUGUACGUACAAGCAGUGGGAGCCUCUUAAUGGGGUGACUGCGUACCUUUGUAUAAUGGGUCAGCGACUUAUAUUCUGUAGCAAGGUUAACCGAAUAGGGGAGCCGAAGGAAACCGAGUCUUAACUGGGCGUUAAGUUGCAGGGUAUAGACCCGAAACCCGGUGAUUCAGCCAUGGGCAGGUUGAAGGUUGGGUAACACUAACUGGAGGACCGAACCGACUAAUGUUGAAAAAUUAGCGGAUGACUUGUGGCUGGGGGUGAAAGGCCAAUCAAACCGGGAGAUAGCUGGUUCUCCCGAAAGCUAUUUAGGUAGCGCCUCGUGAAUUCAUCUCCGGGGUAGAGCACUGUUUCGGCAAGGGGGUCAUCCCGACUUACCAACCCGAUGCAAACUGCGAAUACCGGAGAAUGUUAUCACGGGAGACACACGGCGGGUGCUAACGUCCGUCGUGAAGAGGGAAACAACCCAGACCGCCAGCUAAGGUCCCAAAGUCAUGGUUAAGUGGGAAACGAUGUGGGAAGGCCCAGACAGCCAGGAUGUUGGCUUAGAAGCAGCCAUCAUUUAAAGAAAGCGUAAUAGCUCACUGGUCGAGUCGGCCUGCGCGGAAGAUGUAACGGGGCUAAACCAUGCACCGAAGCUGCGGCAGCGACACUAUGUGUUGUUGGGUAGGGGAGCGUUCUGUAAGCCUGUGAAGGUGGCCUGUGAGGGUUGCUGGAGGUAUCAGAAGUGCGAAUGCUGACAUAAGUAACGAUAAAGCGGGUGAAAAGCCCGCUCGCCGGAAGACCAAGGGUUCCUGUCCAACGUUAAUCGGGGCAGGGUGAGUCGACCCCUAAGGCGAGGCCGAAAGGCGUAGUCGAUGGGAAACAGGUUAAUAUUCCUGUACUUGGUGUUACUGCGAAGGGGGGACGGAGAAGGCUAUGUUGGCCGGGCGACGGUUGUCCCGGUUUAAGCGUGUAGGCUGGUUUUCCAGGCAAAUCCGGAAAAUCAAGGCUGAGGCGUGAUGACGAGGCACUACGGUGCUGAAGCGACAAAUGCCCUGCUUCCAGGAAAAGCCUCUAAGCAUCAGGUAACAUCAAAUCGUACCCCAAACCGACACAGGUGGUCAGGUAGAGAAUACCAAGGCGCUUGAGAGAACUCGGGUGAAGGAACUAGGCAAAAUGGUGCCGUAACUUCGGGAGAAGGCACGCUGAUAUGUAGGUGAAGCGACUUGCUCGUGGAGCUGAAAUCAGUCGAAGAUACCAGCUGGCUGCAACUGUUUAUUAAAAACACAGCACUGUGCAAACACGAAAGUGGACGUAUACGGUGUGACGCCUGCCCGGUGCCGGAAGGUUAAUUGAUGGGGUUAGCGGUAACGCGAAGCUCUUGAUCGAAGCCCCGGUAAACGGCGGCCGUAACUAUAACGGUCCUAAGGUAGCGAAAUUCCUUGUCGGGUAAGUUCCGACCUGCACGAAUGGCGUAAUGAUGGCCAGGCUGUCUCCACCCGAGACUCAGUGAAAUUGAACUCGCUGUGAAGAUGCAGUGUACCCGCGGCAAGACGGAAAGACCCCGUGAACCUUUACUAUAGCUUGACACUGAACAUUGAGCCUUGAUGUGUAGGAUAGGUGGGAGGCUUUGAAGUGUGGACGCCAGUCUGCAUGGAGCCGACCUUGAAAUACCACCCUUUAAUGUUUGAUGUUCUAACGUGGGCCCCUUACCGGGGUUGCGGACAGUGUCUGGUGGGUAGUUUGACUGGGGCGGUCUCCUCCUAAAGAGUAACGGAGGAGCACGAAGGUUGGCUAAUCCUGGUCGGACAUCAGGAGGUUAGUGCAAUGGCAUAAGCCAGCUUGACUGCGAGCGUGACGGCGCGAGCAGGUGCGAAAGCAGGUCAUAGUGAUCCGGUGGUUCUGAAUGGAAGGGCCAUCGCUCAACGGAUAAAAGGUACUCCGGGGAUAACAGGCUGAUACCGCCCAAGAGUUCAUAUCGACGGCGGUGUUUGGCACCUCGAUGUCGGCUCAUCACAUCCUGGGGCUGAAGUAGGUCCCAAGGGUAUGGCUGUUCGCCAUUUAAAGUGGUACGCGAGCUGGGUUUAGAACGUCGUGAGACAGUUCGGUCCCUAUCUGCCGUGGGCGCUGGAGAACUGAGGGGGGCUGCUCCUAGUACGAGAGGACCGGAGUGGACGCAUCACUGGUGUUCGGGUUGUCAUGCCAAUGGCACUGCCCGGUAGCUAAAUGCGGAAGAGAUAAGUGCUGAAAGCAUCUAAGCACGAAACUUGCCCCGAGAUGAGUUCUCCCUGACUCCUUGAGAGUCCUGAAGGAACGUUGAAGACGACGACGUUGAUAGGCCGGGUGUGUAAGCGCAGCGAUGCGUUGAGCUAACCGGUACUAAUGAACCGUGAGGCUUAACCU